CUUUUCAAAAGUUUUAGAGGUUUUUAUGCGACUAAUCAAGCCUAUGACUUAUCGAGUCUUUUAUAUUUUUCUACAAUUUUUCAUUUACCUCCAGGUAUUUUUGGCAAUUCUCAGGAAUUCCUCAUUCUUAAGAAUUUCCGUACCUUUCAGGUAUUUAUUUGAGUACUAAGUAUAUACUUAAAAUAUUUUCAAAAUAUUUUUUCUCGAAUGAGAAAAAUAUUUUAUUUAGUCCCCCAAAUUUUCAGACUUUUCAGGGAUUUUUCACCUAUUUUUCAUAUUUAAUUGUACGACAAUUUUUUUUUUCCUUACUUUUCAGAAAUAAUAAAACAAGAAUCAGGCAGGGGCCCACCGGUCUUGCGCUCAGUCGCUUACUCGGCUAGAAACAGCCUCUUUCUCGGCUGUAUGUACUCGGCCACUUUAUUGAUGCUUUUUACUUUUUUUUUUUUAACUUAUCUUUUUCUUUUAAGAAAAAGGAAAAAGCUAAAACAAAAUAAAUAAAAUGAAUGUAGGGUCCACCUAAUCGGCCUUAGGAGUUGGUCCCAAGGGAAAGAUGGCCCCAAACUAGGAAGGUCCGUAUCAGGUGAAGGAUGUUAUUGGUCGCGUCUCGUACAAGCUUCAGACCCUGGAUGGAGUUGAGUUUCCAAGGACUUGGCAUGCCACCAACUUGAAGAUUUAUUAUAUUUGUUUAUCUUAGCAAGUAGAUGACCAUUGAAUAAGGUCUGAUAGACCACUGCCAGUUAGUUUAUAACUUAGUUGAUCUUAGUUGUUUAUCUCUUCUACUAUAGUUUCAAUAAAAUUACUUAUGGGUUGCUCCAUAUCUCAUGUUUUUAAUGUUUUCCUUGAGUUUUUGUUUGCCUACCGUGAACAGAUCAACCCGGAACAUGAAUUCAACCACAAAUAAGUUACGAUUAACAUUGAUUGAGUUAAAAUUACAAGCUAAGGCUUGAUAAGUCCGAUACUACGACUUAAGGCUAAAUAAGUCCAAUACUACAAGUUAAGGCUAGAUAAGUCUAAAUAAGUAGACCACGCAGGGUCCUUAAUAAAUCCUACUCAUCGGACUCGGAAUCAGCCUCCGAGCUAUCUGUAUAGUCGGACUUCCCAACCGGAUGCCUUUCAAU
rnacentral:lncRNA from 1 species